GAGCCUGCUUCAUUUUCUGUCUCUUUCUCUCUCUGCCCCUCCCCCCCUCUCAAAAAUAAACAAACAAACAAACAAAAAAGUGCCCAAGAGGUAACUGAGGGCAAUGGUAAUAGACUGGGUCAGUUAUUGUGGAUGAAUGUUUAGAAAGGUUAACUUACUUUUUUUUCCCAUGGAUAUGAGAAGAUGAACUGUGGAAUUUCAAUUGUCUAAAUAUGUUUUUACCUCUCUGCAAGCAAUUUUUGAGACUUAAACAAAAAGGAAAAACAAGGGGGUGGGAACUCUAUGAUUUUUACUGAUGUAACAAUUUACUGAAUAGGAUAGUCAAGCAUCUUUCUAGGUUUCUUAUUCAAAGUGAACAAUAUAAUUAAUAUUCAAAUUCAUUAACAACAAAAAUAUUCCUUAGGGUUAUUUUUUGAAAGGUUGGUCAAUUAAACGUUUUUUUUUCCCCUUUCUUCCAAAUCCCAACUUUUAACGGCAGUACACAAUGGUACUCUCUCUCUUCCUUAAAGCUAUUAACUACAACACUGGUGUUAGGAUAAUUAUAUAGAGUUUCCACGUGACAUAAUUCAGUGUACGUUACGCUCAAUCACCAUUCACUCAAUAUUCAAUAUUUACUGAAUAUAAAAAGCUAAUAACACUCUGAGGUUACCAUGUAGUCAUUGGUAUUUCACACUUCACGUUAACAUAUUUAUCGAUUGUCCAGAAGCCUCUAACAAAUGGAUUCCUUUCCACGAAAACCUGUAAUAUUUUUAAUGGAGAGGAAAUAACUUUAUCGUAAAUAGAUGGACCUACAAGCCAUUAUUUUUGCAGUAAACCCCAAAUGGAAAGAGCUCUUUGAAAAUGAUGAACGAGAAGACGGCGAUGUUGUGUAUUACUGUGGGAACAUACCAUUUGUCUCAAUGGAAUACAUCUGCAAGUCUCUUAAAUGGCAAAAGUCAGGCUCACAAGAAGUGCUAUCUUAUGGGUUAUGGGAAACAUUCUUUCCCCUAAUAGGUUGAUUACUAAUUUCAAUAAGGCUUUGAAUUUAAUCUCAAUUGCAUUCCCAUCUUUAGGCCCUGAGCUUGGGAGAAAAAGGAGGUGAUGACAUACUCUCUAUGCUGCUGUUAGGGCAAAAGACAGAAAACUCCCAAGAUAGGAACUGAGUUCGGAGAAGCAAAGACAAAAAUAAUUGAAAAAAAAAAAUACACAAAUUGGUGUCACUAUGAAACAAUGAGUCACCCUGACCAGGGGUGACUUUGCCUUCCCCAGAAGACAUGUGCCAAGGUCUGGAGACAAUUUUGGUUGUCACAGCUGCAGAGAGGUUGCUACUUAACAUCUGGUGGGUAGGGAUCAAGGAGGCUGCUAAAUCCCAGUACACAGGGCAUCCCUCCACAACAAAGAAUUAUCCAGCCUAAAAUGUUAACAAUGCUGAGGUUGAGAAACUCUGCCAUACAGGUAACUUAUACUGGAAUACUAGGUUAAUAAAAUACCAGUCAAAACAAAGGGAAUAUAGGGGAUACACAACACCAAACAGCUGAAUAUGGGUUUAAAAGUUUCUCAUUUACAUAUGAAUAUUUUUAUUGAUAGUUAUUUACUGGAUGUAGCCAUAAUAAAAGAUAAUGGUUACUGAGCCCCUAACUAUGUGCCAGGCCUGGGCUAUGCACUUUACUUGAACUAUCCCAAGUUCACUAUAACCACGUAAUGGGAAUGCUGUUAUUAGCACAGAAAAAUGAUCAUUUAUUGCAUCGAGCAUCCUCUAGAGGUCAGCAGUCACUUGCUCUGUCUCUCAGUCAGUAACUGUCACUGGCGUGACCUUGAACACGGUGACAAAAAAAGUCAGUCCUGAGAGCUCUCUGGAGAUCAGCUGGGUAUCCUGAAUGUCCUCCAAGAGAGUUGUACAGUCCUAAGUGUUAGAAGAUACAUAAAAAAGUGGGCUGGGUUUACGAAUUUUGUUUUUUACAGUUAGGCAGAAAAGGGAUUUACGAAUCUUAAAAACUGAAGAACAAUGAAGUACAACCCAGAGCGCACAGUGGUGAAACCAAGAAGCGGAGAACUUUGGACAGCCCCACCCCAACCCACACUCUCAUCUCCCUAAAUAAAUAUGUUCAAAGGACAUUGAUAAAGGGACCUGAGGAGGGCUAGGCAUGUCUCAUGGUAUUGACAAGGAUUCAUUCAGAGUCUGGGCCAACAUUUCUGGUCAUUAUAUAAUCUUAACUGGCUGAGGAAGGAUAAUAUAAAUUAUUUCCUCGGAGGGGAAGCCUAGAAAAAUUUAAAAUUAAUGUGUCUCAAUGACUAAACGAAUUGAAUCAGCAUUUUCAUGCAAAGGAGACUUGAAUGCUUUGUAUUUUAUGCACUUUUAACAUUUAAGAGAAUUUGGCAGGUGAGCUUUUUCAUUUCAACAUAAAGUAGAUAACUGAGUAAUUGGUUUAGACUUGGGAUUUUCAGUUGAAAACUUACUAAGUUUAUGUGCCAUAUCGAAUACUUAGGAGACUUUAAAUUUUACCGUAUUUAUAAUUAUAAUUUUAAUUUAUUUCAUAAGGCUUAUUUACUUGGAGAGUUUUUGUCAGAUUACUUCCAUGCUUAAAAAAAAGACAAGGAAUAUUAAAUAUAUAAAUGCAUUUUAAAAGGUUUUGGGACUGAAAGAGGAAGAAAGCUUUAGGUAAACAUACUGACAUCCUCAAAAGCGUGGAAGGGGUUCUCGUGGGAGAAGAAAAAGUAGGUUUUCCCAGCAGUGGCCUAAAGUGCUCUGCCCCUAAGGGUUAAAGCCUUCCUAAAUCAGGUGGAUUUCGGGGUUCCUGCCUGGCGGUUCCCUGAUGACACCACCCACAGAGAAGGCUAACUACCAUCCCAUCCUCUUUACCCACACGGAACCACAGCUCACCCUCCCAGACAUGACAAGUCUAUGGGAGAAGCAAGACUAAAAUAUUAGAGGACACCCAUGCCACCACCUAUAUGAACCAAUACAGGCACUCAGGCACAAGUAUGAAUGAACAAAUAAGGGAAACCAUACAUUUGAAAAAUAAAGACAAAGAACAAUCUAAAAGAGAAGAUCCAAAGUUUCCUUGAAAGAACAGAAAUAAAGCAAAGGAGCAUAAGCAAAUUAAAAAAAAAAAAUCCAAAGUAGUAUCUUCAGAAAGUCAAGAGAUUACUGAAUUUACAAAACAAGAAUGAGAAGCUUUGAAAAAGGAACAAUGAGGCAAUGAGAAUGUUUCUGAAAAUUAAAAUAUACUUGCCGGCCUAAAGAUAUUCAACGGCCAAGAUAAUUAAUAAAAUGGAAGCAUCUGAAGACCAAAGUGGAGGUAUGUGAAACCAAAGGGAACAAAUGAGGGAAAAUAUAAGAGGUUAAGAAAUAUGCAUUGCUCCUAGUGUUUCAACAUUUAUCUUAUGUUAGUAAAGAAAAAUGUAAGAAACAGAUUGACACUUUGGCCCAAAGUUAAAUAGAAUGAUGGAGAAAAAGACUCACACCCAGACAUGUCCUGAUAAAAAUGUGAAAUCAAGGGAUAAAGAAAAAACACGAAAAGCUCUAGAGAGAAACAGGCAAAUUAUCUACAAAAGAAAAGAAUUAGUUUAAUAGUGGGUUUCUCAUCGGCAGCCCUGCAUGAUUGAAGAAAAACAAUGAAAGGAAGUUCUGAGGGAACAAUACAUUUUGAAAUCACAACUCCAUGCCAAGAUACAUUAUUAUGUGUAAUAUACUAAAAAGAUUUUCAAUUUUUUAAAUUUCUUUAAGAGAGAGAGUGUGUGCGUGAGUGGGGGAGAGGUAGAAAAAGAGAGAGAUAGAAUCUCAAGCAGGCUCUGUGCUGUCAGCAGAGAGCCCAAUGCAGGGCUCAAACCCAUGAACCACAAGAUCAUGACCUGAGCCCCAAUCAGGACUCAGACACUCAGCCAACUGAGCCACACAGGCACCCCCAAAAGAAGAGAUUUUUAAAUGUGCAUAAUACACACACACACACACACACACACACACACACACACACACACACUUAAUUACUAAGGCUUUUCUAGCAAAAACAAAAAAUAACCCAAGAAUAAGAACUUCAUGGGAUAUCUACCACACUAUUAGCCUAAUAGAACUGAGAGGAAGCAGAUGGAAACUUUAAAGAAAAUACAAGAGAAUCCAUCAACUGGGACAGAAUGAAGUCACCCUUGACUUUUAAUGGCAUUAGAGCCCACUUCCUUCCCCAUGGAUCCAAUAUGUAAAUGAUGUCUCCAUAAUCAUGAUGUUGCAAAUGCUAUUUAUUUUCAUUUUUAAUAAUCAUAGUAUAGAAUGAAGCCAAAGGUUUAAUUCCAGUUUCAAAACAAUAUAACUGGCAUAAAUAAAAUAGCUAAUAAAAACUGGAAGUUAGGAGAGAUGGGGGUAGUAUCUUUCAAAUUCUUCAGCUUUUCAAGUGUCUAAAGUUAGUAAAUUACUAAAUAGGGGAUAAACUAAUAUUUAAAUUUAUACUCGUAACCACCAUAUGAAUUAAAUUUUAUAAACCCUCUUAACAGUGGUUUUCCCUGAUGAAUAAAAUUGAGGGAGGGACUAGAAGGUAGAAGGAGACAUUUACUUUUCAUUUUUUAGCCUUUCAUUCUAUUUGGAUAUUUCAAAUGCUUGCAUUGUAGCCAGAAUUAAAAAAAAAUGAGUAAGAAAAAAUAUACAGUAAAUGGACAGAAAAAGUUGAGAGAUAAAAACUUCUAGGGGCACCUGGGUGGCUUAGUUCAACUUGGGCUCAGGUCAUGAUCUCGCAGUUUGUGAGUUCAAGCCCCGCGUUGGGCUCUGUGCUGACAACUUAGAGCCUGGAGCCUGCUUCGGAUUCUGUGUCUCCCUCUCUCUCUCUCUCUCUCUGUCCCUCUCUCUCUUGUACUCUGUCUCUCUGUCUCUCUCUCUCUCUAAAAAAUAAACAUUAAAAUUUUUUUAAACUUCUAGAAAAGAAUUUUUAGAUAACCUAUGUAUUUUAUAUACCUAACUUAAAAAUUAAACAUUGUUUUUUAUUGCAAGUUCUUGGCUUCACAAUUAUAGUAAACCUAAUUAUUGCCAUCAAAGUAGACUUUGGAGAUGUUGUUUAAGAAAUACAGAAUCCAAACUUAACUGGCAAAUUUCAGAAUUUUAAAGACAGUGCUUUAAAUAAAACACAUUCCUGAAAAGACAACGGAAAAUGAGAAAAGCUGAACUAUUCAAAGUUGAGAGUAAACUAUUCGAGAAUAAAGCGAAUAUGAAAAACUGUAUAACCGAGUAUCUACGAAUAGGCUUGGAAUUAGUAGCACUACCAUCAUUUGGAAUAGUACCACGUGGGGCAUCAAAUUCUCGUUUUCUGGACCGAGCGUUACUUUAGCAAGAGUGGCCUCUCUGACUACCCUUCAGAGAAAUGCAUUCCAUGGCCUAACCUGUCAUCAUUCUUCUGCUCUUUCUGGCUUCAUCUUUUUUCAACACCUGCCAUAUCAUAUAUUUAUUUGUUGGUUGAUUUUGUGCCUUCCCCACCUGCCAGUUUGAUGGUGAGCUCCUGGACAGCCAGGACUUUGUUUAUCAUUGAUUCCUCAGUAAGGAUAGCAGGUACUCAAUAGUUAUUAGUUGGAUGAAUAAAGUAAGUGUUCUUAUAAUAUUUCUUCAUAUAACAACUGGUCUCAAAGAUAUCUUUAGGUUUUAAUUUUUUUUUUGAAACUGGGAAAUCUAAUGUUGAUUGUUAGAUUUCUUUCCUAUCUUGAUUCUAACCAUCUAAUCCAUAAGCCAUUUAUUAUAUGCAUGUCUAAAACCACACGCCUGCGUCAUUCUCACUGAACUCCUUAUCAGGAUAACCAUUCCGAAACAAGUAGCAAUUCAUGGCUCAAAUAAAAUCAACAUCUUCUUAAGGAUCUAUUACAUUCAAGGUGUUGGGAUGGAUGGAUGGAUGAGGGCAGAAGCCUGUGACCUUGGUCCAGAAAUCCUGUCUCCCCUUUCUCGGGGAACACUUACUUUCUAGUCAAGUUCUGGUUUCAGUAUGAAGAUUCUUGGUAACUUCUGGAGAUAUUCUGACUCUGUCCUCUCUCUUUCUGGAUAUUCCUCUAUUUUUCCUCUUUUCACAAAAAUCCAAGCAUAAAUCUUACUUCUCCCUUGUACACAUAUAAAGCAUAGAUAACAGAUUUGGUCCAGAAAGUUACCAUCUGUUUUUUUUUAAUUUGGGGAAUGUGUCAGACAACAGUUCUACCUGUGCUUCAAUACUGAAAAUGUUAGUUUUUGAAAAAAAAAAAAAAAAAAAGGGUGGGGGUGACAAUGAGGGAAAAAAAAUCCAAACUUAUCACUUGGAGGGUGUAACAUUUUUUAAAAAGUAAAUGCACUUCUGUAAUGCUUCCGAACAGAAGUAAGGACCCGAGUCAGUGUAUAUUCAACUAUUCCUCUGUUUAAAAAUUACAUUUUUGAAAGUGCUUCAUUUUCUGGCUGAUAUCAGCAAAUACACAUCAGUGAGUUUAUGACAUCUUAUACAAAAGGGACAACUCGUUCCCCCCAACAAGCUGUCAAGUAACGUACUUGACUCAUUUUGCCAGGGGCUGAAGGUCUCAAGCAUACCUUCUGCCUUCGGUAACUUUGUUGGCUCCCGCACACUUGGCAUUCUUACGGCUGUUUUUGGCAGGCAGACGCACAGCCAACUCACUAUUCAUUAUGACCCCAAAAGCCAGAUCGCACAAACUACUGCAAGUGACCUUGUGGGAUAACGGAAGGGUAGCCCAAGAAAGCACUGUCGAUGCUUCCCUAUAGCGUUGCGAUUGUAAAUUGUAUUUGCCGUUUUAUGAUGAUCUUUCGAGAAAUACAAAAGUCUAAAAUUUUGCUGUAUGUUGUUUAGUCCCAAACCAAUCACGUUUUUUGGUUUUAGACGACUGAACAGUGAGAAACAUACAUGCUUCUGGCUAAAAAACUAAUCAAACUUAUUCUUUGUCUUCUGCAGGAUAAUAAACUUUUGAGUUAAUUUUCUUUUGUUACAACUUGGGAAUUUUUAUCUUUUAUAUGUUUAUCAAGUGACAAGCUUCUUUUAACGUUUAUUUAUUUCUGAGAGACACAGAGAGAGAGAGCAUGAGCAGGGGAGGGGCAGAGAGAGAAGGAGACACAGAAUCUGAAGCAGGCUCCAGGCUCUGGGCUGUCAGCACAGAGCCUACGUAGGGCUCAAACUUGUGAGCAACGAGAUCAUGACCUGAGCCAAAGUCAGACGCUUAACCUACUGAGCCACUCAGGUGCCCCAAGAGACAGGCUUCUUACUGACCCUUUCAAAGUAUUCCCCAUUCAUUUCAGUCAGUGGCCUCACAUCUUUUUAAGUCCAUGACAUCAAAUCGCAUGACCCCCUUCCCACCCCUGUUGCUAUCUUUUAAUGUAUGCAACGUAUUUAUUGAUUAUACCUACUAAGAGCCAUCACUGUGCUGGGAAAUAGGUAUUAUGUUCAGUGGUGAACAAAAGAGAUAAAAUAUGAUUUUUGGCUUCAAUUUAAUAGAGAGGGAAGAAAAGUAUCAAGAAUAAAUAAUUGGUACCUAACUGUAAAUUAUGAUAAAUUCCACGAUGGAAGAGUGUCUAUUUACCAACUUUUGAGAUAUUCCCCCCAGGUAGUUCAAACACUCUUUCUCCUGGCAUGGCUUUCCUCUCUACUGUAUCCUCUGCCAUCACCCGGGACAUUACAUGCAAACUUCUGUCCUUCCCUUUAGGUCCCUGGCUCUCUCCAAAUAGAGGGCUUUCACUUCCUCACUAGGAACUCACAUGCGUAAUUCUUACCUCUUCUGGUCUCUACCCCAAGUUGUUUUCGUUUUUGUUGUUGUUGUUGUUUUAAUUAAUCUCUACACCCAGGGUGGGGCUUGAACUCAUGACCCAAAGAUCAAGAGUCAUAUGCUCUACCAAGCCAGCCAGGUGCUCCCAAAUUGUUUUAACUAAGGGACUUCAAAUCGUGAAACUUUUCUGAUCAUAAUCUUAUUAUUUUCACCUUGUCGGCUACUUUUCUUACAAUAAACCUGCAAUUAGCCUUUCCCAUGACCUUGAGUCCUUUCAUACCUCUGUGCUAUCUUUGGGCUACUAACCUCCUGCAAUCACUUGCUUCUCUCUCUGACCUGCUUCCCAAGGUCCAACAUGUCCACAGUACAAUCUCUAGCAACCUGCCAGUCCUCACUCCCUAUCUUCAGUGUCUGCCUACUACUUUUAAAGAAAAUGUUAGUCAUUUUCUCCAGGGUUACUGCGAAUUGCCGGAGAUUCUCAAUACGUAUCACUUAACCCAAUUUCAUCAUGACUCUUAACGAUGCUUACAAUCAUUUCAUAAUACACCUUUCUCCUUCUUCCUCCUAUCUCAGCCUGCCCUUCUCAUUUUCCAAGUACCUCACCUCCACUGUCAACUACACAAGAUGUCAACUAAAAUGUCAAUUCUCUCUCUUGAUCUAUUUUAUUUUUAAAUCUACACAUCCAUUUUGAGAGAGACAGAGCAGGCAUAAGUGGGGUAGGGGCAGAGAGAAAGGGAGAGAGAGAGAGUCCCAAACAGGCUCUAUGCUCAGUGCAGAGCCGGACGCGGGCUUGACCCCACAACCUUUUAGAUCGUGACCUGAGCCAAAAUCAAGAGUUGGACGCCCAACCAACUGAGCCACCCAGGUGCCCCUGAAAUGUCAAUUCAAAAUUUAUGUCAUUUCCACACACACAAAACCUUUACAUAUUUCAUUUUUGUGUUCUGCUUCCCUUUAAACUCUUUUUUUUUUAAGUUCUUAUUUAUUUUGAGAGAGAGAGAGAACAGGGGAGGGGCAGAGAGAGGGGGGGAGAGAGAAUCCCAAGCAGGCAUCACACUGUCAGUGCAGAGCCCUACAUAGGGCUUGAAUUCACAAACUGUGAGAUCAUGACCUGAGCCAAGAUCAAGGGUCAGACGCUCAACCGACUAAGCCACCCAGGCUCCACACAGUCCUCUGUAUUUGGUCUUCUCACUUGCUCCAGAAACUUGUGCUCUGUCUACAAAUAUGUUCACAUCGUCUCUCAACUCCCUCCCUCCAAGUGAUUGUGGCCUAUUUCCACCUUCUGGACACCGUAGGCUUCGUUUUGCUGGUUUUUGCUUUCAUCCCCGUCCCACUUCUUGUAACUCACUGCCUUUGUGCCUGACCGUCACCCACCCCUUGAAAGAACUCUUCUAAGAUCACAAAUGCCCUUUCGCUAAAGUCACUUUUGACCCAAUGGAUACCCCUUCUCUUUGUCCUGAAAUCCUCUGCAUCCAUAGUUACUAUUGCAUUACGCACGAUCUUCUUCCUUGUCCUACCUCCCUGAUAACCCCUCACUUUUUAUUGUAUCUUCUGCACACGUGAGAAUUCCUUAGGAUUCCUCCAUCAACCUCUUUUCUUCUUCCCCUGCACCAGGAGUCACAAAUGGCAACCCUGAGCAUAUUUUGGCUUCCAGGGGCGUUCUGUCUGGCCUACAGAGUCUUGAGGUUGUUUGUUUUCACAGAAGUCAACACUUGCAAAUUAGGAGAUUUUACAUAAAAUCUGGACUUCCACUUUGUCUUGAGAAACCACGAUUCAUAUCAACUACAGAAUAAGGAUAAAAGAAAGAAGAGCGUCAAACAGAUACAAAUGACCAUUUGAUAGCCAAGUAAUAAUGAAAGACUGGCUUCCCCCGUCACAUAGGAAAUAUGAAGAGAUAUUCUCAGGGCAGAUUUUGAGGAUUCGUGCUGAUAACCGCAGAUAUUACCAAGUUCAGUCUAUCAGUCUUCUGUUCUCAUCCUUGUCAGACUUACCCACAUCUUCAGAGCCCUGGUUAUUCGUCCUAUCUUCUAUAAUUCCCUCGUCUUAUUUCAAAAAGGAUUUGAUUCCGACUCCUUUAGUUUACUUUCCUCUGCAUACUGAAUUUACCUAAUAAAACCUGAACUCUGAAACAAGUAACAGAAUAAAACGAGAGCUAACGUCAAUUUUAGCUUUCAAAUUCUGAUGCGGCCACAUUGCCUAGCUGGUCCACGAAGCAGAGCAUAUUGCUUUGCUUUACUCCAAAGGCUUUCCUUGUUCUUAAUUUUAGAGGUGAUAAAGUCUCCAUGGGGAAGAAUAUAGGAAAAGAAAGUGUAUAAAGGUGGAAGGUAGAAAAAUCUGCAUAAGAAAAGUCAUUUUCACUCAUUCUUCUUUCUCCUCCCUUGUACACUUUACAAAAAUAUCUGUUUGGCAGUCACUAACCCUAAACUUCUACUUCCUGACGUUGACACUUCAAUUUCCAUCGCCUCGUAUUCCAAGAACAAUGUAUAUACGUCUCCCUGCUGCGGAAAUGAAAAGUGAGAGUGGCAAGUAUAAGAUGACCUACAAGGAAAACAAAAACAAAAAUAAAAAAACGACCCUCCGUUUUAAUGAACGAGCCGAGAGAAAGGUCUCCUCCGCACUUACUUCCCUACCUUGAAAUGCUGCCUAACAUGCCAUGAUGUUUAAACUCCUCAUAGCCCUGGGCUAACAUUUGGAAAGGCUUAUUUAUAUUUUGAAAAUGGAAGUCCACACACACCACGCGGAGGAUGACAUUCUGUCCCGCGGCAGCAUAAACCACGGUUUUGUAAGCCGCGUUUCACUUCUUGCUUUGGUGCCUUGUUAACCCACUAAGCCAGGUUGCCAGGCAACCAUGCCAGCUUUGCUGAAUAUAGAUAUUAACAGGUUUAGGUUACAAGGGGGGAAAAAAAUGGUGCAAAUGAGCACAGAUUUAUCCUUCACCUGGAAAUCUGGGGAAACAAGCAAUCUUCACAACCGGGUGUUUGAAACAAAUGUAUUUAAUACCUUCUUGUUACACUCCAGCCUCUGCGAUGGAGGCGACAGUUCGUUCCCGCCUCUGAGGUAACACCCCUGCCCACUGUGUUCCGAGAAACGUCCUUGCCCGCUGCCACCAUGACUUGCAAUUCUGGGUUUAGAACACCGAUCGUGUUUCUAGCAACUGACGGAAUUUCAAUCUCGUUUUAAUAAAGUCGCACGCUUAUAAUGUUCUCUAGGGGAAGGCUCUCUCCCAGGGAGCAUUCUGCUCUUUACUGUUGGCGCUGGGUAGGACAGAAGUAACUGUCCCCAUCGGUCAGGGGAGAAGCCCGUCUUCGUGACGAUAUGGUGUUGGCGCCACAACUGGUCGAGGGCAGAGCUGGGAUGUGCCCCCAGCGGACAGCCGGCCCCAAGAGGCAGUCCCUCUGACAUGUCUCAGGAUUUUCUUUUCUUUUUUUUUUUUUUACCAGAUUAUUGAGAAAGUGACAGAAAGUGAAGAUAGUCUUGUGAGCUGUUACAGCAUCUAAGACUUCGGUACGGGCUCUCCUGCAAAGAGGCAAGUCUGUCAUCAGAGACGUGUAGCCCUGAGAUGUGUUUUCUUCUUCUUUUUUCUUUUUUCUCCCUCGUUCCAACAUUUCUCACAUCCCUGCUUUUCCGCCUGUACUCCCGAACAGACUUUACAACAAAACAAAAAUAAAAAUAAGCUCUCUCUGAUCCCUUUUCUCUGGAGGCAACACGAGGGGCCAACAAGGCUCUCGCUUGAAUCCCUUCACUGUGACUUCCGCUGCGGGACGAAUGACCCCAGAACGACCCCACAGAGCUUCUGAGUUUAAAGGACACCCGCUUGGGGCGCCUGGCUGGCUUGGUAGGUUGAGCAUCUGACUCUGCUUCAGCUCAGGUCAUGAUCUUAUGGUUUGUGGGUUCAAGCCCCGCAUCGGGCUCUGUGUGGACAGUGUAGAGCCUGCUUGGGAUUCUGUCUCUCCCUCUCUCUCUCUCUGCCCCUCCCCCACUUGCUCUCUCUCUCUCUCUCUCUCUCUCUCUCUCUCCAAAUAAAUAAAAAUAAACUUAAAAAGAAAAGAAAAGAAAGGACACCUGCUUAUAGAUACGGACCUGUAGGAGAGCUCUGCGGAGAAAGCAGGCUAGAUAUGCUUAGCCCAGAUUGCACCAGGCUGCAAUCUGCCUGCAAGUCUAGAAAAGUCCACCCCCACCUGUCACUCACAUUUAAAAAUAUGUGCUCUCACUGCUAUUGCUGCUGCCGCCGUUCACGUGGGCAAAGCACUAAGAUGGCUCCAGGCCGACCAAGCGACCCAGGCUGCUAAGGCGCAGGUCCUGUGGAUCGCUGGGACCAGGCCUCAGAGGCCGGUCAGCACUGACUCUCCGAGGAGUGGUUCCACUUUGAUUUCUCUUGUGUCAAGCCGGGACGCCUGAUGACGGUAAUUUCGAGACAAGUGUGGUAGUGCUCUUUCUCCCUCCUGCUUCGAUAGGUUGGUGACGUUUCCACUCCCAGCCCUGCCGAAGGCUAGGCUAAUUUCAGUCAGAAUGCCUCCCCUGGGUUAUUUUCUGGGGCCCCAGGAAGUGUGAGGUAUGUGCAUCUUCUCCCACAUUGCGGGGAGGUGCCCUGGAUUUACCCGGAGAGGCUUGUUCAACCAGGUGGGAGCGACGAGAGGACGCUUCCGUCCGCCUUCCAGCACUUUCCGUCCUGCUACCAAAGACAGCCGAGGCAGCCCAUUUCGCUCCCCUGGCUUGACUUGGGAAGUUAAUAAGAUCAUAAGCUGAAGACCUAAGAACUGGCAAACCGUGCCAAGACGAAAAUCUCAGACUCCCCUGGGGAGAGAAAUACUCGCUUGCCCUCCUGAAUAGGAGUCUCUCUUUUUGAAAGCAGUGGGGUCUCCCUCCACGUUAUGAUAGUUUCCCUCUCACCUCAAUAUUGUGGCCGACUGCAAAUUAAAACAGUGCUCUUUCCUGGCUUAUACUGUCUUAUCUGCUUGGCUUGGCAUUAGUCCUUAGGAGAAAUCUGGUCUCUCUUUCUUCCCCAGGGAAUUCUAAAUACUCUGCGGGGUUUUCUCCCCCCCCCAGAAGUCAUCGGUGAUGAUAAAAACGAACAGAUUUCGACGGCAUUUUAAACGUGUUAGUUAUCGAAAACGUAAUCAACACCUGGACUUUUGACAUUUAUUGCGUGCUGAGAAUAUCACAGAAGAGGCGUCCAGUAACUUUUUGCGGAACGAUCGUCGAACCCGCACAGCAAAAGGACCUGCUAACCCUCACAUCUCAAGAGAAGCAGUAUACAGAACGACCGUCAAGAAAAGCAAUCAGUCGGGGUGCCUGGGUGGCUCAGUCGGUGAAGCGUCCGACUUCGGCUCAGGUCAUGAUCUCACGGUCCGUGAGUUUGAGCCCUGCGUCGGGCUCCG